rnacentral:RNase_P_RNA from 1 species
GCCCUCCGGGGCCUGGGCGGCAAGAGGAAAGUCCGGGCAACACAGAGCACCAUACUCUCUAACAGUGAGCUGUCGGUGACGGCAGAGUAACGUGACAGAAAAUAACAGCCACCCUAACGGGCGGUAAUGGUGAAAAGGUGGGGUAAGAGCCCACCGGGUGCUGUGGCGACACAGCAUGCCGCACGUCUUAUGGGUUGCAAGGCCAUGUAUACCGGCGCGUGGAGCCGACAUGUCGGUCUCCACAAUGGGCUGCUCGUCCAUUGCCGGGGGGUAGGCUGCUCGAGCGCCAAACAAGAUUGCGAGGCGCCACUUAGAUAAAUGACUGCGACCGCCGCGGCAACCUGUCGGAAUGUCUGACGAGAAGUCCCGCGACGACAUAACCCGGCUUAUAGUCCCGCUG